rnacentral:rRNA from 1 species
CUUGGUGUCUCGAGCGGUGGGGGUACACCUGUUCCCAUCCCGAACACAGCAGUUAAGCCCACCAGCGCCGAUGGUAGUACCUUUUAAAAGGUGCAAGAGUAGGUCGACGCCAAGA